rnacentral:rRNA from 1 species
GCUUGUCUCAAAGAUUAAGCCAUGCAUGUCUCAGUAUAAGCUUCUACAUGGCGAAACUGCGAAUCGCUCAUUAAAACAGUUAUCGUUUAUUUGGUGGUUGUUUACGACAUGGAUAACCUUGGUAAUUCUAUUGGCGAGUCAUGAUAGCCGAGCGAAUGGCAUGGCAUCGGUUGGCGAUGUACCAUUCAAGUUUCUGACCUAUCAGCUUCCGACGAUAGGGUAUUGGCCUACCGUGGCAAUGACGAGUAGCGGAGAAUUAGGGUUCGAUUCCGGAGAGGGAGCUUGAGAAAUGGCUACCACAUCUAAGGAAGGCAGCAGG